UUACUUGAUUCUAAAGUCCAAGGGAAAUUUGGGUUUCUAUAUGACAUUCUUGUCUAUUGGAUUGUAGUCCAUUGGUCAGAUCUUUUCAUCUCUCAACUUUUAAAUUUAUGCUUAGGAUUAGUCUCUUCAUCUCCUCCCUACUUCUUUAAUUUCAAAAUCUCUCCCUCCUUUUAAAAUCGUCUUUGCUUGUCUUUGUUGAUUUCUAAACUUUGACCAUUUUUGAAAACUAGAAACUUUGGCCUUAUGCCAU
rnacentral:lncRNA from 1 species